UACAGAGGUCUCAACCGUUGUUCGGAUUCAUUGGGCGUAAAGGGUGCGUAGGCGGUCGCGCAAGUCGGAUGUGAAAUCUCAGGGCUCAACCCUGAAACUGCAUUCGAUACUGCGUGGCUCGAGUACUGGAGAGGAGACUGGAAUUUACGGUGUAGCAGUGAAAUGCGUAGAUAUCGUAAGGAAGACCAGUGGCGAAGGCGAGUCUCUGGAAAGUUACUGACGCUGAGGCACGAAGGCCAGGGGAGCAAACGGG
rnacentral:rRNA from 1 species